AUUGAACGCUGGCGGCAUGCCUUACACAUGCAAGUCGAACGGCAGCGGACCUUCGGGUGCCGGCGAGUGGCGAACGGGUGAGUAAUGCAUCGGAACGUACCUUUCAGUGGGGGAUAACGUAGCGAAAGUUACGCUAAUACCGCAUAUUCUGUGAGCAGGAAAGCAGGGGAUCGCAAGACCUUGCGCUGAUUGAGCGGCCGAUGUCAGAUUAGCUAGUUGGUGAGGUAAAGGCUCACCAAGGCGACGAUCUGUAGCGGGUCUGAGAGGAUGAUCCGCCACACUGGAACUGAGACACGGUCCAGACUCCUACGGGAGGCAGCAGUGGGGAAUUUUGGACAAUGGGGGCAACCCUGAUCCAGCCAUGCCGCGUGAGUGAAGAAGGCCUUCGGGUUGUAAAGCUCUUUCGGCCGGGAAGAAAUCGCACGGGCUAAUACCCUGUGUGGAUGACGGUACCGGAAUAAGAAGCACCGGCUAACUACGUGCCAGCAGCCGCGGUAACAC
rnacentral:rRNA from 1 species